AGCAAAAUUUCUCUUUACAAUUUGAAAGGGAUUGUCAUCCCUUGGAAAUGAAGUUUAAUCACUUGAAUAUUCUGAUCAUUUUACGUGAAGCACCACCACAACCUACUUCAUAUGUUCACUUCUGACCUACAAACAAAAGAAUAACGUAAUUGUGGCCCGACACGAACACAGACUAGGCUGCUCAACCUCAAGCCAGAAUUGGCUGCCGAUGUAAGUGUCUGUAAGAAUUUCCUGGCAAAAACUGUGCCCGAGCCCGGUCUCAUUUCUACUCCUACCGUCAAGAGUCUGUCCAAGGUUUUUUUCCCCAAGGACGGAAGACUACAAUCUGUCCUCAUUUACAGGGGUCUCCUGGGACAUAGUGUUGGAGUCACUAGGGCAGUCAAAGGCACUCCAUAACCAUGCACACAAUGCCACGGUCACACGGUCAUUCCGCAGACACACACAACACCUGCACAGUCAUAUGCACCACGCACUCGCACACACUGCUUCUGGGACCCACGGUCACAAAGCACAAUACAAGAGGACACUCACAAUCACACCCGCAGUCACGGGCUCUGCACACCUACGUACGCUGCUGCACCGUCAUAAUCAUACAUAAACCACGGGGACAUCGUGACCAGAUUCGCUGUCGCUGCAGGCCCUCGCAGGCACCCACUCGCAAGGACACGCUCAUAACCUCUACCCCUCAGCCCGCUCCACCCCCAGACACUGGACGCUGUGGACCCCAACAGGCUCAAGCCUCCUCACCUCACGCCGCUCCUGCGUUGCUUCCACACAAGCCAGGCACAACUAAGCCUAGCAGCUUCUGGCGGCUCUUUGUGAGGAGUUGAAGCCCAGCCACCGUGGGAAAAUACCGCGAGACGUCACGGAAAGGGGAGUCAGGCCGCGGGAACUUCUGGGAGACGUAGUCUGGAGCCUGCGUGCCCGGAAAGUUAGGUAUUAAGUCUUGUUGGACUUUUAGCACAGGCCAUCUGAAUUUUCGCGUCAGCUUGUCAAUUCCUACCAAAAUCAUGCUGAGACGUAGUUUUUGGGAUCAAUCUUCCCUUAAACAUAAACAUGUAUAUCCUGAUCUUGGCACAUAGGUUCCACCUGAUGUCAUUAUGCUUGACUUCUCGUCUCUUCAUGGAAGCUCCUUCUCUAAAGGUUAUCCUUCAAGAUAAACUCCUGGUCUCCCUGAAAGGACUGCGGGCAAGUUUAGAGCAGGACUUCUAAGACAAUCUUCCUGGCGGGUACCUCACGCUUUCCGGUCUAGACUACAUUUCCCAGAAGAACUUGCGAAUCCAGCGACCUUUUCUAUUUCUCAGGGAACAUGGCUCCCUGGAAUUGGCACGGUUGGUGGAGGAAGCUUGUCUCCAGGACGUGGGGCCUGCACUCGUGUGGGAGCCUCACCCAGAGACUGCAUAUUGAUCUCGAAGAUUCCUGGCAGCGAUUCUGAGAGGGAAGCAAGGAUGUCGGCUUGGAUCAGCCUGUGCAUCAGCCGGAAAACCGGAGGUCGGGGCGCCGUCUUGCCCCAGCGGAUCCGGCUCCAAACUACAUUUCCCAGCAGCCCCCCGGGGACCCGGGCUGCCUUUUCACUUGCCUGCGGGACGCUCGGCCUCCGGAGAAGAAGUGCAAAGUGAGGGGCCUAGGUACUGGGCUUCCGACUAGGUUGUUCCGGCUCGUCCCUGGGAGUCUGCAGGAACUGUCUGGCCGGGUCUGGAGUCUCCGCCCUGUCUCUGCUCUUCUCAGAAGGGUCCCCAGAGGAAGGAGGAGGAAUGGCUGUUGGCCAAACCAAAUACAAGGAAAACAGCCCCAAAGAGGACUGAUCCUCUCCUGCAAUACUGACAGCCAUGGCCCAGUGGACGGCGCAUGGAGGACCUAGUGUUUUGGGGCUUAGGCGCCUGGCUUCUGCAAACGGGAUGCUCCCAGGCACCGGCACCUCUCUGCUCGCGGGCGGCGCAGGAGGGCAGAGCAGGUCUCCGCUGGGCUGCGAUCCGGGAAGGCACCAUGGCGGCCUGGGGCCUGAGACAUACACGCGCACAUCUGGAGAGGUCCUGGAGGUGCCUUGCAGUGGGGCUUUGGGAGAGGUGGUUAGCAGGAAGCUGUGGAUAUUAAAGAAUGAAAGAAAAGGAUCGUAUCUAAGAGGCAACGAAGAAUGAAGCCAGCAGACAAAGAGUAUGGAGUAACCAGCACAGCUCUUUUAAUGAGUGAAAAGAGGAAGUUCCUGCUAAUCAGGAGGGGCUGGGAGAGAGGAUUCCCUCAGGGCUGUGGUGUCUGGGGUUUAUAUUGCCUCCAGCCAGGAUGAAGUCCUACUCCCCAUCUCCAAUCCCCAGUAGAGAACUGAACUAAUGACAUCACAGCUCAUUCCUGUUUGGGUGAAAGCACAAUGCUUAAUUUGCACAGGAAAUACAGUCAGAACAGCUGAGGUCUAUCUAAGUAUACUUUUGGAAGGCUGAAUUGGAUUGUGGCAUGUUUUUUUGUUUUUUGAAACUUACAAGGGUUUUUAAACUUCCUGAAAUUUACAAGGGCCCUGAACUUUCCCUGUGUCCUACUAUCACCUGCCUCAAUGUUAUCUACAAAGAGUGACAGUUUAGCUUCUUCCUUACAGAUUUCGGUGCCUUUUAAAAUGAUGUUUUGUCUGAUUGCUGUGGCUAGGCCCUCCAGUACUAUGUUGAAUAAAAGUGGUGACAGUGGACAUUCUUGUCUUAUUCCUAAUCUUAGAGGAAAAGCUUUUAGUUUUUUGCUAUUAAUAGUAUCUGACAGCUUUAUUUUUAAGCUUAGCAAUAUAGUAUCAGAUCUGUUUAUGCCUUUUCUUAGAGACAACUUUGGAAAAUUUAAGGAGGCACCUAAAAAGCCUCAUUAGUCAAGAUAAAUAUUUUAAUGUAUUAUUUUAAAAAAUCAAAAUUAACUGCAAAAAAAAUCCAUGAACAAAACUAAAAUUAUACAUCCUUUUUACACCUCCCCCCAUCAACACUACCAGGUAAAUUACCUCCAAAGAGCAACUGUCCCGUAGUCUCGAAUAAAAACCCCAGGGUUUCUGGAUCAGGCCGUGGGUCCUCACCAUGCUAUUACUACCACCAGGUACCUUUUGCUAUUUGCCCCAAGUUCAGCCUCUCUCCCCACUAAAUCCUGGGACACUAGACUAGAACCACUCUCACCACUAAGCAGGAAAUUCGUCCAAGCCAAUCCCACUCUCCCCAAAAACAGCCUUUGUGGUCCCUGUCAGUACUGGCGCAUCCUCCUACCCUCCAGGAUGCAAGCCGGGUGUGGCUUCCAGCCGGGAGUACCAGCCCAACAUCUCCCUGCUGCCCCUUUCCUCACGUGCUUUGCCCAGGGCCACACCCACUUCAACCGGAUCAGGCUCCCUGGCACAUCCAGACUCUGGUUUCUGUUGUGGGAAGGGCACACAGGGUCUAGACUUGACCUGGGUGAGCCUAGCUUACCUGUGCCGCCUGAGGUCAGUGUGCAUGGUCUGGCUGCCCACUUCCAGGGUGCCAGAACCACAUUUCCUAGGCUCCUUGGGCAUUUAUUUUUUUUUAACAUUUCAUACAAUGCUGUUCGCCCAGAUCAAUGGCCCUUGGAGGAGACACGUGAACCGGGAAGAAAACGUGAAC